UACGAAGGGGGCUAGCGUUGCUCGGAAUCACUGGGCGUAAAGGGUGCGUAGGCGGGUUUUUAAGUCAGAGGUGAAAUCCUGGAGCUCAACUCCAGAACUGCCUUUGAUACUGAAAGUCUUGAGUAUGGGAGAGGUGAGUGGAACUGCGAGUGUAGAGGUGAAAUUCGUAGAUAUUUGCAAGGACACCAGUGGCGAAGGCGGCUCACUGGCCCAUUACUGACGCUGAGGCACGAAAGCGUGGGGAGCAAACAGG
rnacentral:rRNA from 1 species